rnacentral:rRNA from 1 species
CAGCAGCCGCGGUAAUACGGAGGGUGCAAGCGUUAAUCGGAAUUACUGGGCGUAAAGCGCACGCAGGCGGUUUGUUAAGUCAGAUGUGAAAUCCCCGGGCUCAACCUGGGACCUGCAUUUGUGACUGUAUAGCUAGAGUACGGUAGAGGGGGAUGGAAUUCCGCGUGUAGCAGUGAAAUGCGUAGAUAUGCGGAGGAACACCGAUGGCGAAGGCAAUCCCCUGGACCUGUACUGACGCUCAUGCACGAAAGCGUGGGGAGCAAACAGGAUUAGAUACCCGGGUAGUCCCUGUCUCUUAUAA